rnacentral:rRNA from 1 species
AUUGAACGCUGGCGGAAUGCUUUACACAUGCAAGUCGAACGGUAGAGGGGGCGACCCCUCGAGAGUGGCGAACGGGUGAGUAAUAUAUCGGAACGUGCCCAGUCGUGGGGGAUAACGUAGCGAAAGUUACGCUAAUACCGCAUACGACCUAAGGAUGAAAGCGGGGGAUCACAAGACCUCGCCCGAUUGCAGCGGCCGAUAUCAGAUUAGGUAGUUGGUGGGGUAAAGGCUCACCAAGCCAACGAUCUGUAGCUGGUCUGAGAGGACGACCAGCCACACUGGAACUGAGACACGGUCCAGACUCCUACGGGAGGCAGCAGUGGGGAAUUUUGGACAAUGGACGAAAGUCUGAUCCAGCCAUUCCGCGUGCAGGAUGAAGGCCCUCGGGUUGUAAACUGCUUUUGUACGGAACGAAAAGGUCUCUCUUAAUACGGGGGACUCAUGACGGUACCGUAAGAAUAAGCACCGGCUAACUACGUGCCAGCCGCCGCCGUAA